rnacentral:rRNA from 1 species
UGGGUUAGUCCGCACGAGCGCAACCCUGUUGUUAGUUGCCAGCAUUAAGUUGGGCACUCUAGCAAGACUGCCGGUCGUUAAGCCGGAGGAAGGUGGGGAUGACGUCAAGUCCUCAUGGCCCUUAUGUCCAGGGCUACACACGUGAUACAAUGGGAGGUACAAAGGGAUGCUAACUCGCGAGAGCACGCAAAUCCCAAAAAACCUUCCUCAGUACGGAUAAGAGUCUGCAACUCGACUCUUUGAAGGUGGAAUCGCUAGUAAUCCCUGUAUCAGCAGGCAGGGGUGAAUACGUUCCCGGGCCUUGUACACACCGCCCGUCACACCAUGGAAGUUGACUGCUCCAGAAGUGCCUGAGCUAACCCGCAAGGGAGGCAGGGCCCCAAGGUAGUGGUUGGUAACUGGGGUGAAGUCCUAACAAGGUAGCCGUAGGGGAACCUGCGGCUGGAUCACCUCCUUUCU